rnacentral:lncRNA from 1 species
UAUAUAUUUUCCCCUAUCACGUACAACGCUCUCUCCUCUGCAACUCAGAUCUGUUCCACCGGCUCCGACGAAUGUCUCACCGGCUCCGGCGUCACUCCCUUGAUCUCAUCGGCGACCAUCUUUGACAUCACUCUAUUGAAUUCACUGACGGUUUCUCUCUCUCUCUCUCUCUCUCUCUCAUCAUGUUCUCACGCGAUCACUCGGAUAUGUUCUUUAACGGCGGAUCUAUGAGUUUCAUCUGGUGGUGGUCGAGAGCAUAGUACGGUUGUUGUAGGUGGAUAAGAUGAAGCGGCUUCCAGAUCUGAACACGGUGGUUGGUGAGAAUCUAGUUGGUGGUUGGAGGACGAAAACGAUGAUGGAGAGGACAAAGAUCAUGGUGCCAAGGAUGAAGGUGUGUACGUGAACUGAGAACUGGUUGCGCAAUGAUGGUGGGAGGGUGGUGGUUGAUGGUGGCUGUUCAGAUACAAGGAGGAAAGAGAGGAAGAAAUUAACAAAAAUACCCUUGAUUUCCAAUUGAAAUCUCUAUUAUGCCAUUAAACUUGGACAGAAAUUACAAAAUUGUCCCUGGUGUCGAAUUUUUGUGUGUGUGUGUAUUUUUUUUUUUUUUUUUUUUUGUGUUCAGUUAUCAUUUCUGACAAUUAUUUAGUCAAUACCUCGUGCACCUAAUUAAUUAACAUUGGUUUUAGGACAUCUAUGUACUAUGUAUUAAUUUGCCAUUAGUAAUAGAUUAUUUUAUCUUAAAUCUAAUUAAGAAUUCAUGUUCCCUUAA